GAUGAAGAACGUAGUGAAAUGCGAUAAGUGGUGUGAAUUGCAGAAUUCAGUGAAUCAUCGAAUCUUUGAACGCACAUUGCGCCCUUUGGUAUUCCUUAGGGCAUGCCUGUUCGAGCGUCAUUUAAACCUUCAAGCUCAGCUUGGUGUUGGGUGACUGUCCGCCGCCUCCGGGCGCGUGGACUCGCCUCAAAAUUAUUGGCGGCCGGUACAUUGGCUUCGAGCGCAGCAGAAACGCGAACUCGGGCCCGUCGUAUUGGCUCCCAGAAGCUAUCUUCACAAUUUUGACCUCGGAUCAGGUAGGGAUACCCGCUGAACUUAAGCAUAUCAAUAAGCGGAGGA
rnacentral:misc_RNA from 1 species